UACGGGGGGGGCAAGCGUUGUUCGGAAUUACUGGGCGUAAAGGGCUCGUAGGUGGCCAACUAAGUCGGACGUGAAAUCCCUCGGCUUAACCGGGGAACUGCGUCUGAUACUGGAUGGCUUGAGUUUGGGAGAGGGAUGCGGAAUUCCAGGUGUAGCGGUGAAAUGCGUAGAUAUCUGGAGGAACACCGGUGGCGAAGGCGGCAUCCUGGACCAACACUGACACUGAGGAGCGAAAGCGUGGGGAGCAAACAGG
rnacentral:rRNA from 1 species